rnacentral:tRNA from 1 species
GACCCUAUGGCGCAAUGGGAGCGCGUCUGACUCCAGAUCAGAAGGUUGGGUGUUCGAGUCACUCUGGGGUCA